AAGAAUUCAAGACACCAUUGACUCCAAUAAAGCUAGAUAUUAAAGAUCUUGAUAUUGUCAUUGAAGAGCUAACAAUACUCAAUCAAUUGGAUUGUACUAAAUGGUAUCAGUUUGGACUUCAUUUAGGAUUAUAUGAUCCAACACUAAAUGCUAUAAAGAUGGAUCAUGGACAAUGCAAGCCAUGUCUGAUACAGUGUAUGUCUGCCUGGUUAAGAGGAGAAGAUAAAGUAAGAGAGAAAGGAGGUCCCAGUUGGUCAUCAUUAGCUACAGCACUGGAUACAAUAGCAGAGAAAUCUAUUGCUAGUUACAUUAGAGAUAAAUAUUGUCAAUAAUUAGUUAGAGGAUGAUUGUCUAUAGUAUUUCAUUUUGUUCUGUUUAUUAUUAUUUUUGCUGAUACUUGCUGAUUCAUUUGUUAAUUAGUUGAGUUGUAAAAGCUGAGCUGUCAUCAUGUACUAAUUUCCCUAUCUCUAUAGAAUUAUCACUGAUAGUAUCAAAC